GCGGACAUGGCGAAAUUGGUAUACGCGUACGAUUCAGAUUCGUAUGGAACUUUUCCGUGCAGGUUCAAGUCCUGUUGUCCGCACCA
rnacentral:tRNA from 1 species